GCACGGGUGGUCUAGUUGGUUAUGACGACUGGUUUACACCCAGUAGGUCGGGAGUUCGAUUCUCUCCCUGUGUA
rnacentral:tRNA from 1 species